GAUGAAGAACGUAGCGAAAUGCGAUACUUGGUGUGAAUUGCAGAAUCCCGUGAACCAUCGAGUCUUUGAACGCAAGUUGCGCCCGAAGCCGUCAGGCCGAGGGCACGCCUGCCUGGGCGUCACACGCCGUUGCCCCCCCGCGCCCCGCACCCAACUCUUUGGGAGCGACCGCGGGGCGGGCUGAUGAUGGCCUCCCGUGCGCUCCGCCGCGCGGUUGGCCCAAAUACCGAGUCCCCGGCGACGUGCGCCACGACGAUCGGUGGUUGAGAGACCUCUGUCGCAAGUCGUGCGCGCCCGUCGCGUCACGCGGGCUCGCAUAGCGCCUCGCGCCGCACCCGGUGCGGAGCUUUCAACGCGACCCCAGGUCAGGCGGGGUUACCCGCUGAGUUUAAGCAUAUCAAUAAGCGGAGGA
rnacentral:misc_RNA from 1 species